rnacentral:rRNA from 1 species
GCCCUUAGAGUUUGAUCCUGGCUCAGGAUGAACGCUGGCGGCGUGCCUAAUACAUGCAAGUCGAGCGAACGGACGAGAAGCUUGCUUCUCUGAUGUUAGCGGCGGACGGGUGAGUAACACGUGGAUAACCUACCUAUAAGACUGGGAUAACUUCGGGAAACCGGAGCUAAUACCGGAUAAUAUUUUGAACCGCAUGGUUCAAAAGUGAAAGACGGUCUUGCUGUCACUUAUAGAUGGAUCCGCGCUGCAUUAGCUAGUUGGUAAGGUAACGGCUUACCAAGGCAACGAUGCAUAGCCGACCUGAGAGGGUGAUCGGCCACACUGGAACUGAGACACGGUCCAGACUCCUACGGGAGGCAGCAGUAGGGAAUCUUCCGCAAUGGGCGAAAGCCUGACGGAGCAACGCCGCGUGAGUGAUGAAGGUCUUCGGAUCGUAAAACUCUGUUAUUAGGGAAGAACAUAUGUGUAAGUAACUGUGCACAUCUUGACGGUACCUAAUCAGAAAGCCACGGCUAACUACGUGCCAGCAGCCGCGGUAAUACGUAGGUGGCAAGCGUUAUCCGGAAUUAUUGGGCGUAAAGCGCGCGUAGGCGGUUUUUUAAGUCUGAUGUGAAAGCCCACGGCUCAACCGUGGAGGGUCAUUGGAAACUGGAAAACUUGAGUGCAGAAGAGGAAAGUGGAAUUCCAUGUGUAGCGGUGAAAUGCGCAGAGAUAUGGAGGAACACCAGUGGCGAAGGCGACUUUCUGGUCUGUAACUGACGCUGAUGUGCGAAAGCGUGGGGAUCAAACAGGAUUAGAUACCCUGGUAGUCCACGCCGUAAACGAUGAGUGCUAAGUGUUAGGGGGUUUCCGCCCCUUAGUGCUGCAGCUAACGCAUUAAGCACUCCGCCUGGGGAGUACGACCGCAAGGUUGAAACUCAAAGGAAUUGACGGGGACCCGCACAAGCGGUGGAGCAUGUGGUUUAAUUCGAAGCAACGCGAAGAACCUUACCAAAUCUUGACAUCCUUUGACAACUCUAGAGAUAGAGCUUUCCCCUUCGGGGGACAAAGUGACAGGUGGUGCAUGGUUGUCGUCAGCUCGUGUCGUGAGAUGUUGGGUUAAGUCCCGCAACGAGCGCAACCCUUAAGCUUAGUUGCCAUCAUUAAGUUGGGCACUCUAAGUUGACUGCCGGUGACAAACCGGAGGAAGGUGGGGAUGACGUCAAAUCAUCAUGCCCCUUAUGAUUUGGGCUACACACGUGCUACAAUGGACAAUACAAAGGGCAGCGAAACCGCGAGGUCAAGCAAAUCCCAUAAAGUUGUUCUCAGUUCGGAUUGUAGUCUGCAACUCGACUACAUGAAGCUGGAAUCGCUAGUAAUCGUAGAUCAGCAUGCUACGGUGAAUACGUUCCCGGGUCUUGUACACACCGCCCGUCACACCACGAGAGUUUGUAACACCCGAAGCCGGUGGAGUAACCUUUUAGGAGCUAGCCGUCGAAGGUGGGACAAAUGAUUGGGGUGAA